CUACGUGCCAGCAGCCGCGGUAAUACGUAUGGGGCGAGCGUUGUCCGGAAUUAUUGGGCGUAAAGGGUACGUAGGCGGCCUUUUAAGGCAGGUGUGAAAGCGUGAGGCUUAACCUCAUUAAGCACUUGAAACUGGAAGGCUUGAGUGAAGGAGAGGAAAGUGGAAUUCCUAGUGUAGCGGUGAAAUGCGUAGAUAUUAGGAGGAAUACCGGUGGCGAAGGCGACUUUCUGGACUUUUACUGACGCUCAGGUACGAAAGCGUGGGGAGCAAACAGGAUUAGAUACCCUGGUAGUCCACGCUGUAAACGCUGUCGAUUUGGGGAUUGGGCUUAGAGCUUGGUGCCCGUAGCUAACGUGAUAAAUCGACCGCCUGGGGAGUACGGCCGCAAGGUUAAAACUCAAAUGAAUUGACGGGGGCCCGCACAAGCGGUGGAGCAUGUGGUUUAAUUCGAUGCAACGCGAAGAACCUUACCUACUCUU
rnacentral:rRNA from 1 species